rnacentral:lncRNA from 1 species
UGCACUCCAGCCUGGGUGAAAGAGCGAGACUCCGUCUCAAAAAAAAAAAAAGAAACGCUGUUGGGGGCAGGAGCCUGGAUCUCAACCCCUGCAAGGUGGAAAUCUGGCUUCCUCUCACCCAUACGAGCCUGCCAGAGGCAGGAGGCUGACGCCCCGGAGGGACCAGCUGACAUCGGCCUUGAGGGACCAGACUUCUCCAGGCCGGCAACCUUCUCCCAGCUUUGUGAGGUGGAGCCCAACCUCCAGACCAAGAGAGGCCUUCCUGACCUUCAACCCCAUCUCCAGAGCUCCCCAGAGCUGGUCUAGCCCCUCAUCUGACACACAGAGAAACGGAGACCAGGAACCUGACGCUGGUUUCCCUAGCCCAUGUGAGGACCCUGUAGACCAGCUACAUGCACACCCAGUCCAGCCGCCGGACAGCGUUCAGUGGGAAGAGAGCAGACCAUCGUCCACCCACAUUCCAGACUCCAACUGGCAGAGGGGAGGGGACGUUGGGGCUGCAGGGCCACCAAUGUGGACGGGACAGAGCCCCAGGGACAGCCUGUGCUGGGGACGUAUGGGGGCAGGAUCAGACCCCACAGUGCCUGCGGGCCACAAGGCCAAGACAGGAUCUGGUAAGUGACGAUUUGGAGGCUGGUCCUGAGGUGCAAGAGGGAGUGCCAGGGACAGAGAGGGCACCGGGGUGACUACAGUCCCUCCAGACUCACAUCUACCCGCACCUGUGGGUGGGGCCUUAUUUGCAUACAGGGUCUUUGCACACGUGGUUGGUUACAAUGAGGAUGCUGGAGGGGGUGGUCUGUGUCCCUGUUAACAACUCAUGUCCUUAAGAGAAAAGAGGAACGUGGACACCCACACAUCGGGAGACGGCCGCAUGGAGACGGAGCAGAGGCUGGAGUGACGCGGCCGCAGACCAAGGGCGCCUGGAGCCCCGGAAGCUGGGAGGGGCAGGAAGGGUCCUCCCCUGGAGCUACUCCUUGACCUCAGCUUCCUGUGGCCUCCAGGACAGGGACAGGCUGCUCUAAGCCACCCAGUUUGCAGCACUGCUGCGGCCGCCACGAGAAGCUCGUCCAGGGAGGAGGCUGCUCCAGCCCUGAGCCCCACGCGACUCCCGGAAAGGUGUACUGGCCAGACUCAGCGCCCUGAGGACGGGGUCGGAACCCAGCGCCCAGGAAGCUCCCCUCCCCCCGACCAAGGACCUCCCUCCAGGGUGUGCCCGGAGGAGGUCAAGACUCCACUGCCCUGAAGCAAACAAGGCGUCCAGCCCGAGCCAGGGUCACACGCCCAACAGGUAGGAUCCAGCAACCCCUGCGCAGCAGCCCCCGCCAUGCGAGGGAGGACCCGGAGUUGAGCGUGGCCCUGCCUGACAUCUGACCCCGCCGUCAGGAGCUCCACCAGGUCAGGGCUGCUCAGCUGACCCCACAGCCCCACCAGGCAUGGUCAGCACGGUGCCGAAUGCAGGCCUGGAAAGGGAAUAAAGGAGGCCCUGGGGAGGGGCCUUGGUGCUUCAUCCCAAGCCAACCCCGAAAGUGGAAGCCACAGGGCCAGGGGGACGUCGUGGCUGAGAUGCGAGCAGGGUGCCGGGCACCCCCAAGGCAGCACUGCUGUCCCUGAGAACAGAAGGAAGUCCAGGCCCAGAGUCAGAGCCAAGUGGAGUAGUGGUGGUUGCUGGCACUCAGUCCCGUACCCUUGGACAGAGCAAGAGUCCCAAGCCAGGAAUGUGAGGCCGAUGCCUUUUAGGAAGAAACCACAUCUGGGGAACCAGACCCCAGAUCCCAGAACCCAGACCUCAGAUCCCAGAUCCCAGAUCUCAGACCCCAGAUCCCAGACUU